rnacentral:rRNA from 1 species
GAUCAAAAUCACGAAUUCCUUUUGCCCAUGCAUCUGCCAGCAAUGAAAUAGAAUGAUUUCCUAACAUUCCUCCUGUUUCACCCGGGGAAGACCAUGAAGGCAACCAGCCGCAUUGUUCCUGGGCUGCCAAAAGAGCAUUCAUAUAACGUCCCUGCAUUGUUGGAUGCAAAAUAUUUGUCAAAGGGAAUUGAGAACGGAAUGUAUCCCAAAAUCCAUUAUCAGUAUACAUGUAACCAUCAUAAAUUUUACCAUUAUAUGGGCUAUAAUAAUAUGGUUCACCAUUUUCUUUGCGUUCAUAAAAUUUGCGAGAGAAUAAAUUAGCACGGAAAAGACAAGAGUAGAAAGUCUUCAUCUGUUCGUCCGUACAUCCUUCAACUACAAUUCUAUUCAAUACUUCAUUCCAAGUCUUCUGACCGCGUGCUUUCGUUACUUCCAGAUUCUUAUCUUUACCGAGUUCUUUAUUUAAAGUUAUCAGAGCCUGCUCUGCACUUAUGUAUGAGGAAGCUGCUUUAGCCUGAACCUUCGAGCCUUUUUUAAAUUUAAUAAAUGCACCAUAUCCUUUACUUUUUGUAGAACGGUCCGGCGAGUUAUGAUACGCGGUAAGGUUAAGGACUUAAGGUCCGGAGCCGAAGCGAAAGCGAGUGUUAAGAGCACGAGGAAUCACGUAUCAUAGACCCGAAACCGGGUGAUCUAUCCAUGUCCAGGAUGAAGCUGCCGUAAGAGGUAGUGGAGGUCCGAACACACAUCCGUUGAAAAGGGUGGUGAUGAGGUGUGGAUAGGGGAGAAAUUCCAAUCGAACCCGGAGAUAGCUGGUUCUCCUCGAAAUAGCUUUAGGGCUAGCCUCAUGAGAGUCUUUUGGAGGUAGAGCACUGAAUUCCCGCGGGGGCGUCAAAGCUUACCAAAGGAUAUCAAACUCCGAAUGCCAGUAAGAUGAUUCAUGGGAGUCAGACUACACGAGAUAAGUUGGGUAGUCAAAAGGGAAAGAGCCCAGACCUGCAGCUAAGGUCCCAAAAUGUGUGUUAAGUGGAAAAGGAUGUGGGAUUUCAAAGACAACCAGGAUGUUGGCUUAGAAGCAGCCAUACAUUAAAAGAGUGCGUAAUAGCUCACUGGUCGAGAGGUCCUGCGCCGAAAAUGUCCGGGGCUGAAACACACUACCGAAGCUCAGGAAUUAACGUAGUUAAUUGGUAGAGGAGCAUUCUUAAAGGGAAGAAGCAGUACCGGAAGGAGCUGUGGACUUUUAAGAAGAGAGAAUGCCGGAAUGAGUAGCGAGAGGAAGGUGAGAAUCCUUCCGGCCGAAUACCCAAGGUUUCCAGAGUAAAGCUGAUCUGCUCUGGGUAAGUCGGGGCCUAAGGUGAGGUCGAAAGACGUAGCCGAUGGACAACAGGUUGAAAUUCCUGUACUGCAGUAUAACAGAACUGUGGGGACGCAGAGGGAGAGCACUAGCGGGAAUGGAAUCCCGUGGCAAGCGAGGUAGGAGUCGCGUUGGCAAAUCCGCGUGACAAUCCGAAGACGUGAUGCAUACCGAACAAAAGUAGGGAAAUGUGUGAGCCAGCUGCCAAGAAAAGCCGCUAUUGUUUGUACUGUACCCGUACCGUAAACCGACACAGGUAGGUGAGGAGAGAAUCCUAAGGCCGACGGGAGAAGCAUUGUUAAGGAACUCGGCAAAAUGACUCCGUAACUUCGGGAGAAGGAGUGCCAGUGAGAGCUGGCCGCAGAGAAUUGGCCCAAGCAACUGUUUAGCAAAAACACAGGUCUAUGCAAAACCGUAAGGUGAAGUAUAUGGGCUGACGCCUGCCCGGUGCUGGAAGGUUAAGGGGAGAGGUUAGCGCAAGCGAAGCUUUGAACUUAAGCCCCAGUAAACGGCGGCCGUAACUAUAACGGUCCUAAGGUAGCGAAAUUCCUUGUCGGGUAAGUUCCGACCC